AUUGAACGCUGGCGGCAUGCCCUACACAUGCAAGUCGAACGGUAACAGGUCUUCGGAUGCUGACGAGUGGCGAACGGGUGAGUAAUACAUCGGAACGUGCCCGAUCGUGGGGGAUAACGAAGCGAAAGCUUUGCUAAUACCGCAUAAGAUCUACGGAUGAAAGCAGGGGACCGCAAGGCCUUGCGCGAACGGAGCGGCCGAUGGCAGAUUAGGUAGUUGAUGGGAUAAAAGCUUACCAAGCCGACGAUCUGUAGCUGGUCUGAGAGGACGACCAGCCACACUGGGACUGAGACACGGCCCAGACUCCAACGGGAGGCAGCAGUGGGGAAUUUUGGACAAUGGGCGAAAGCCUGAUCCAGCCAUGCCGCGUGCAGGAUGAAGGCCUUCGGGUUGUAAACUGCUUUUGUACGGAACGAAAAGACUCUUUCUAAUAAAGAGGGUCCAUGACGGUACCGUAAGAAUAAGCACCGGCUAACUACGUGCCAGCCGCCGCGGUAAAAC
rnacentral:rRNA from 1 species